rnacentral:rRNA from 1 species
AUUGAACGCUGGCGGCAGGCCUAACACAUGCAAGUCGAGCGGAGCGGCGGACGGGUGAGUAAUGCCUAGGAAUCUGCCUGGUAGUGGGGGAUAACGUCCGGAAACGGGCGCUAAUACCGCAUACUAUCAGAUGAGCCUAGGUGGGAUUAGCUAGUUGGUGGGGUAAAGGCCUACAAAGGGGCCGAUCCGUAACUGGUCUGAGAGGAUGAUCAGUCACACGGUACCUGAGACACGGUCCAGACUCCUACGGGAGGCAGCAGGGGGGAAUGUGGGACAAUGGGCGAAAGCCUGAGCCAGCCAUGCCGCGUGUGGGAAGAAGGUCUUCGGAUUGUAAAGCACUUUAAGUUGGGAGGCGUUACCAACAGAAUAAGCACCGGCUAAUUUCGUGCCAGCAGCCGGGGAAUAC